rnacentral:rRNA from 1 species
AUGAUCUAUCCUAACAUGUUGUUUUAUGUCAACCAGGGAGUUGUGAGGGGAGUUCCGAAAGAAAUGCAUAUUUUCUUUAAUCGGAAUAGGCAUUCAUAUCUGCUUUGGGUGUUUGCAGGGCAAGCAAUUAUAGUCAUUUGGACCACGGUUGGAGGAAGUAAUUUUUCGGCAGCAAGUUCCCUCGCGCCGCAAAACGCAGUCCAAACCAAACGUACGGGUCGCAGCAGCCAGCCGGUAGAGUCGAUCGAGAACCCUAGCAUCCAAUCCCUCCUUGGUCUCCCGGAGUCAGGUGGCUGCCGGCCGCCACCCGAUCGUGGCGGUCCGCCGGUCCCCGGCUUUUCGCCGCAUUCUCUAUGGACUCGAUACUAUUCUGAGCCAUCACAUCGAAAAAGAACCACUCGAAAGGUGGCAUUGUACACCAACGAGGAGACACCGCAUGACGUUUCCCAUGGCACCAUGCAAUGCAACAUCUCACUUGGGCUUAUUGCUACUGCGAUGCAGAUCUUAUAUAUACGCAUGGCGACCCCAUGGAACGUCUCAUCCUCAUCCACCGUGCACAAUUUAAUUCCUUCGUUUGCAGCAGCCAACAAGAAUCGAGUCGGCGACCGGUCGAGUGAUCGAAGAGGAGGGAAACGCAGGCUAGCCAACUUGAAUCGUGAGAUGGCGGGAAGGUUUGCUGCCGCGCCAGUAAUGUUCCUGAUGAUCGUGGUGUUCUUCGCCGUGUCCGGCGCGGCUCGCCAGCUCGGCGGCAACGAGUGGGCGCCGGCCAGUGAGGUCGUCCCCGGCGACGGCGUGGCGGCGCAGCUUCUCCGGCAAAUGUACCUGCAGCGGCUGGGGGCGGGGCCCUCGUGCGGCACCCACAGCGCAAACGGUGGCUGCCCACACUGA